rnacentral:rRNA from 1 species
GAUGAACGCUGGCGGCGUGCCUAAUACAUGCAAGUCGAGCGAACGGACGAGAAGCUUGCUUCUCUGAUGUUAGCGGCGGACGGGUGAGUAACACGUGGAUAACCUACCUUUAAGACUGGGAUAACUUCGGGAAACCGGAGCUAAUACCGGAUGAUAUUUUGAACCGCAUGGUUCAAAAGUGAAAGACGGUCUUGCUGUCACUUAUAGAUGGAUCCGCGCUGCAUUAGCUAGUUGGUAAGGUAACGGCUUACCAAGGCAACGAUGCAUAGCCGACCUGAGAGGGUGAUCGGCCACACUGGAACUGAGACACGGUCCAGACUCCUACGGGAGGCAGCAGUAGGGAAUCUUCCGCAAUGGGCGAAAGCCUGACGGGGCAACGCCGCGUGAGUGAUGAAGGUCUUCGGAUCGUAAAACUCUGUUAUUAGGGAAGAACAUAUGUGUAAGUAACUGUGCACAUCUUGACGGUACCUAAUCAGAAAGCCACGGCUAACUACGUG